UACGGAGGGGGCUAGCGUUAUUCGGAAUUAUUGGGCGUAAAGGGCGCGUAGGCGGCCCGGUAAGUCAAAGGUGAAAUCCCUCGGCUCAACUGAGGAACUGCCUUUGAAACUGCCGAGCUGGAGUGCCGGAGGGGAGAGUGGAAUUCCUGGUGUAGCGGUGAAAUGCGUAGAUAUCAGGAGGAAUACCGGUGGCGAAAGCGACUCUCUGGACGGCAACUGACGCUGAGGCACGAAAGCGUGGGGAGCAAACAGG
rnacentral:rRNA from 1 species